GAUGAAGAACGUAGCGAAAUGCGAUAAGUAAUGUGAAUUGCAGAAUUCAGUGAAUCAUCGAAUCUUUGAACGCACCUUGCGCUCCUUGGUAUUCCGAGGAGCAUGCCUGUUUGAGUGUCAUUAAAUUCUCAAUCUCUACAGCCUUUGUGUUGUUUGGAUUGGAUGUGGGGGUUUCUGUGUGGGAUACGCCAUUCUUCACUCCCCUAAAAUGAAUUAGCUGGAAUGCCUCUGCAUAUCUGACUAUUAGUGUGAUAAUUAUCUACGCUCUAGUUAUUGCAUGGAGGGUAUCUGCUUCAUUAAUUGUCGAAAAGACAACCUAAUGAUCACCUUUGACCUCAAAUCAGGUAGGAUUACCCGCUGAACUUAAGCAUAUCAAUAAGCGGAGGA
rnacentral:misc_RNA from 1 species